CACUCUCUAACCGCCACUCCUUUUUCUUAACCGCCACUUCUCAUGUUCCCUCCACAAACCCACUACAGUCGUCGCAGUGCCCCGCACAACUACCCAAUCCCUUCUACUGCCUCCGCGCCUUGCACAACCACCCCACCUAGAGGCACCCUUAUCCUAUACAUCAAUCCAACAAAGACGGAAGGAGGGACUACCAAAGGUGCUUACAAGCAUGUAAGGAGGGUUCCUAUUUUUUGAAGCACCUCCAGCAGCAAUACUACCACUCCCUGCUCCUUCCACAAACCCACAACAAUCGCUGCGGCGCCCUAUAUAACCACCAAUUCUCUGUUGCCAUUGCCAUGCCCCGCACAAUCACCCCACCACCCACACUGCCACACCCCCAUC
rnacentral:lncRNA from 1 species